UACGAAGGGGGCUAGCGUUGCUCGGAAUUACUGGGCGUAAAGGGAGCGUAGGCGGACUGUUAAGUUAGAGGUGAAGCCCAGGGCUCAACCUUGGAAUUGCCUUUGAUACUGGCAGUCUUGAGUACGGAAGAGGUAUGUGGAACUCCGAGUGUAGAGGUGAAAUUCGUAGAUAUUCGGAAGAACACCAGUGGCGAAGGCGACAUACUGGUCCGUUACUGACGCUGAGGCUCGAAAGCGUGGGGAGCAAACAGG
rnacentral:rRNA from 1 species